AACGAACGUUGGCGGCGUGGAUGAGGCAUGCAAGUCGAACGCGAAAGCCGCAAGGUGAGUAGAGUGGCGGACGGGCGAGUAACACGUAAUCAAGCUACCUGCGAGACCGGGGAUAACCUCGGGAAACCGAGGCUAAGACCCGAUGGUUUGCGAGGGCCGCAUGGCCCGUGCAAUAAAUGGGGCGGGAUCCUCCGGGACCGCCUGCUCGCAGAGGUGAUUGCGGCCCAUCAGCUAGUUGGUAGGGUAACGGCCUACCAAGGCAACGACGGGUAGCCGGCCUUAGAGGGUGGUCGGCCGCACUGGGACUGAGACACUGCCCAGACUCCGUACGGGAGCUGCAGUCGAGAAUCUUCCGCAAUGGGC
rnacentral:rRNA from 1 species